AAAAAUGUGAAACAGGCGAUGCAGAAGCAUGUACAAAUAGCAUAAUAUUAUACAAAAGAAAUCGACAUGAGAACAGCAAUAGGUUUUAUUUUUAUUUACGAGCUCUAAUCUGCAUGAAGUGAGAUAAUACCUUUACGAAACUAAGAUUAGCGACGCACAUCGUAGUCGCUCUGUUAUUAGGGCUGCAGGUUUAUUAUAAUUUCGGCGAUGACG